UACGUAGGGUGCGAGCGUUAAUCGGAAUUAUUGGGCGUAAAGCGCGCGCAGGCGGUCCUUUAAGUCUGAUGUGAAAGCCCACGGCUCAACCGUGGAGGGUCAUUGGAAACUGGGGGACUUGAGUACAGAAGAGAAGAGUGGAAUUCCACGUGUAGCGGUGAAAUGCGUAGAGAUGUGGAGGAGCACCAGUGGCGAAGGCGACUCUUUGGUCUGUAACUGACGCUGAGGCGCGAAAGCGUGGGGAGCAAACGGG
rnacentral:rRNA from 1 species